AAAAUUGUCGGAACCCCCCCAUACAGCCCACCGCCGCCGUCCACCCCAGCCCCGCCCGAGCGCAGCCCCGGCCCAGCGCCCCCUGUGGGAAGAGGCCAGCACCGCUCCUGGCCCUGAGCCCGCAGCAUGCAGCGCACCCCGCCUCGUGCACGAAUCCGGGGACACACGACACGCCCCGCCCCGCCCUGCCCCGCCCCCCCAGCCCAGCCCUGGCUCCACCCCGCGCCCCUUCACUGUUCUUGUGCUGCUCCUCUGCCCUGAAGGGGAGUGUGACGCCGCUGGGCUAGACAAGGGCUGGCUCGCUGGGAUAGGGAUGAUUCCCCCUCAAGCAGGGCUGGACUAGACCUUUGGACAUCCUUCCAGCCCUACUUUGAUAUGAUUCUGUGAUUAUCACAAAUGAUCAACAAAUCUAUAUUAUUUUAAUUUAUACCAGUACUGGUAAUUUCUGAAAAAAAAAAUUGUUUUAAUAUAGGACCAGGAACAACUUCAAGCUUGUCACAGUUGAAAUUAAUUUGGACCCUAAUUUUCACUGAUUUUUUUUUUUUUAAUGAAAUUUUACAAGAAGGAAGUACGUUUUACCACCUGAGACCCUGCUCCUGCCUUUGUUUGAGGUAAUUUGCAUUAUCACAGAGCCCGGAGAUACUUUGCCACAUGAGAAAUUCCUGCCCAGAAGAGCAGCCCAUCAUUUUAUUCUGUGAAAUAUGGAAUAUCAUAACCAGAAGGAAAUAUAACUCUACGUCCUGCUAGCCACCAAACACCUUCGAGUGAAGAUGAAGAUUUCCUCAUUCCACUGCAGAUCCAGUUCCAGCUUUCCUCUUCCUGUUUUUAUCAUUUUUUCCUUAAUUAUAUUCACAAGAUAAAAUCUGGAGAAUGCGAUACAGAAAUUCGGUGGAGAAGUUUGGCAGUGCCUAUAGAAAAAGCUUCCACAGGCUGAAGUCUUCCUCACAGAUGGAGCUGGUCCCAGGAAUGGAGGAGAAUGGAGAUUGUAUGUGCAAGUGAGAACUUAGAGAGGGCAGAAAGGACACCAUCCCACGGCACACCCCUGUUCACCCCACAUUCCUUCCCUGUAUAUGCUCUAGAUUCUGCAAAUCGGAGGAAACACAGCAUGGAUACAGCUCUUCCUUCUUGAAACCAGCCCACUGUGACAUUUUAAUCCUCCCAGUGUCUGUGCUAAACAUGAAGAAAGGGAAUAUGGUAAUGAUCCACUCCGCAUAGUUCACCUGGUACUGCCCAUCGCAGGUGAGGGAGGAGUUGAACAUACAAGACAGGAUGUUGUUUAAAGUGGUUUGAGAACUAUUCUCCACAGACUAAAUGGUUGAUAUCCUCAAAUGGAUGUACUCUCUAAAUGGUGGGAGCUAGUGACAUGCUUGAGAAGAGUUUCACUCUACUCUUUAGGGCAGAAGCCAUUGUUGGCUUGUAUUUGUAUAAAGCUGGUCAUCACGGGGUCCUGCCUUUGGAAUUCCUAAGUGCUAUUGCAAGACAAAUACUAAAUAAGAAUGAAAUUACACCACA